rnacentral:rRNA from 1 species
GAUGAACGCCGGCGGCGUGCCUAAUACAUGCAAGUCGAGCGAAUGGAUUGAGAGCUUGCUCUUAUGAAGUUAGCGGCGGACGGGUGAGUAACACGUGGGUAACCUGCCCAUAAGACUGGGAUAACUCCGGGAAACCGGGGCUAAUACCGGAUAACAUUUUGAACCGCAUGGUUCGAAAUUGAAAGGCGGCUUCGGCUGUCACUUAUGGAUGGACCCGCGUCGCAUUAGCUAGUUGGUGAGGUACAGGCUCACCAAGGCAACGACGCGUAGCCGACCUGAGAGGGGGAUCGGCCACACUGGGACUGAGACACGGCCCAGACUCCUACGGGAGGCAGCAGUAGGGAAUCUUCCGCAAUGGACGAAAGUCUGACGGAGCAACGCCGCGUGAGUGAUGAAGGCUUUCGGGUCGUAAAACUCUGUUGUUAGGGAAGAACAAGUGCUAGUUGAAUAAGCUGGCACCUUGACGGUACCUAACCAGAAAGCCACGGCUAACUACGUGCCAGCCGCCGCAGUAA